GACGGACGCUGGCGGCGUGCUUAACACAUGCAAGUCGAACGGAAAGGCCCUGCUUUUGUGGGGUGCUCGAGUGGCGAACGGGUGAGUAACACGUGAGUAACCUGCCCUUGACUUUGGGAUAACUUCAGGAAACUGGGGCUAAUACCGGAUAGGAGCUCCUGCUGCAUGGUGGGGGUUGGAAAGUUUCGGCGGUUGGGGAUGGACUCGCGGCUUAUCAGCUUGUUGGUGGGGUAGUGGCUUACCAAGGCUUUGACGGGUAGCCGGCCUGAGAGGGUGACCGGCCACAUUGGGACUGAGAUACGGCCCAGACUCCUACGGGAGGCAGCAGUGGGGAAUAUUGCACAAUGGGCGGAAGCCUGAUGCAGCAACGCCGCGUGCGGGAUGACGGCCUUCGGGUUGUAAACCGCUUUCGCCUGUAACGAAGCGUGAGUGACGGUAAUGGGUAAAGAAGCACCGGCUAACUACGUG
rnacentral:rRNA from 1 species